CUCUCCUCUUUUUUCUAUCUCGUGGCCACGAGUUAGCUAUGUCGUGGCCAGUAGAUAGAAAAAAGAGGAGUGCAAAACUAAAUAAAAGCGGCGUACAAUUAAAUAAAGAGCGGUGCAGAAAAAAAGGCAGAGUGCAUUAAAUAAAAGAGGAGAGCAUUUUCGUCAUCUCGAGAUCCCGACAUAGCUAACUCGUGGCCACGAGUUAGUCAGCCAAUCGAAUUGUGCGUAACAUGUGUAAAUAUUCUGUACGCUGGUUCCCAGCUUCCACUGUAAACAAAUAGAAGCCUGGCAUUGGCGGAAUCAUGGUCGACGCGAUGAUAAUGGUGAGUUAACCAAAUAUUUACAAAUGUGGCUCGUCGGGGUAUCAUUCAUUUUUCAAUCGAAAUGCAUAUAUUUCAUUCAGUAAACGUUCUUCUUUUUUUUUCGAGUUCUUCCGCAUAUUAGAGUUAAUUAAUGUUCCAUAACCUGAGUAUGUUUCGGACAAGUACACAGAUAGUUUAAUUUCGCAUGUUAUAGUAAAUUUGUAACAUACUGUAUUUGUGAUGUAUUUUUGAGUAGUGUGACAAAUAUGAAAGCAUUGCGGUGUGGUUAUCUUUGAUUAACAGUAGGAAUGCAUUUUUAUGUAUUCAUGCCUUUUUCCAGGUUCACCACAGUCAGAAUUUCAGACCUGCUUUUCCCUGAUUAGCAAAAUGCUUCUAAAUAUCUUUUCUAAACUCCAUUAAAAAUGGUUCGUGGGUAUCAAGAAAAAGUUAUUCAUAAUUCAUAAUUCAAAUCAUUAAUCAUAUUUCAGAUGGAUCAUACUUGGUUCCAAGUAAUUGAGUGUAAGUCUGGCCCAGAUAACACAUACAGUGCCUGUGCCCAAAAAACUCAAGUACCCCGCAUAAACGAGGAAGCAAGAGGGCAAUAUCAACUCCCACAAGAAAAACACCUAAACAUGAACAUAAAAGGAUUAAACUGGAUGAAAAAAACAGACACAACAAAUGGUCCAUCGAAGAGAAAUCUUUUCUGAAAGAAUACAGUCAGAAAUUACGAAAAGAUGGCGAGUCAGAAAACAGUUUCUGGAACAACUGUGCAAUUGCCAUGAACAACAUGUUUGGUGGAAAAAAACAGAACAGGUUCCAGCUCUCCAAGAGAAGUUGCAAGGCAUAUAUUGUCUUCUUCAUUGAGAUGAAGUAUAGUUGUAAAACUUUUAAAUGAAAUUGAAUAUGCAGCAAAAGAAUGCUACAACAAGGACAGUGUUUUAGCCCAAAAGGAUUUCUGUGACCUGGCUGAAUUUAAAUGGCAUGAACUCAUUGAUGAACUAUUAGAGCAGCAGCCACUGCUAGCUGAUGUUCUCUUGGCUGUGUCUCUACCAACCUCCAAGAUAGGGAAUACAAAAUCUGUUCAGAGACUAAUACUGGUCAUAUCUGCUGUGUUUGGAAUGUUGAUUAAUACAGGAUACCAGGAGUUGUCGUUACAACUUGUUAGUUCAAAAGAUAAUCGCAAUGACUUUAGCUUCGCACUCGUGAUUUAAUUCCUACGCAUCUAUACUCCUUACUAUGGGUUAUUCGACAACAAACCAUGAUAGAAAAAUAUUAUUUCUUAAUCAUUUUAUGAGUAACUCAAGAGAAAAUUUCAUUAAAGAGUUGCCAAACUCAGCUGUGAAUGAAUGUUUGUUUUAUAAAAUAUUCAAUGUAUGUAUUUUAAAUAUAUCUUUAUAUGUUUUAAAUAUUUCACAAUAUCUAAAUACAAAUACAGUGAAAAACAUACCAGGUAUUAAAAAAAAUCUUUCUUAACCAGAAAUUAGCAAUAUACAUGUAUAGUUUUUUGCAAUUUGAUAAAAAAAACGGUAUUAAACAUUAAAUUGUGUACUAUUUUCUUAACCUCAAGUUUGUGAAAUUGGGCAUUUGAAUGUUUAUGUUACUGUUCAUGACACAUGUUUUGUUUGGAAAUUAAAUAAAUCUUUUGGAACAUCUAUUUAAUAGCGCUGACCCAGGCUCUUAAGGUCUUUGAUGUUUUAGCUCACCUGAGCUCAGAUGAGCUCAUAGGAUCGAUGAAUGUCUGUUGUCCGUCCUUCUUUUAACUCCCUUUUGGUUUUUUUUUCUGCUCAUAGAUCGAGAAACUUGGUCAUGAUGAUUGUUUGGAGAAAUUGUAGGUCAAGUUCAAAGACGGGUCAUCAGGGGUCAAAAACUAGGUCACUAUGCCAUUGACAAAUAUUGGCUACCUGUACUAAGGUGAGCGAUAUAGGGCCAUUAUGGCCCUUUUGUUUUAAUUCUACCCUUAACACAAUCAGGAAUAAGUUUACAAA